CUGACUUCCGGUAUGUUCCCGCUUAACUCCCGUGGACUUGACGCGCCAUCUUGUCCGCCGGGACUCUCGGCUCUGUGUGCGCUGUUGGGGCGUUCUCCCUCCCGGUUCGUCCGGUUCAUCACCCCUAACGGGACACCAGGGCUUCACGUGAUCCGUCCGGCGCCGCCGUCACCGGCUGCAGUCGGUGUUCUUCUCGGUCGACUGAAGCCGGCAGGAGCGGACUUUCCAGCGGACCGGUGAACUCCCGACAGCGUCCAUGCAGGACGCCGCUCACAGGCUGAGCAGUCGGGCUGAUCUGGGACCAGUCUGGUGGACCUGAGGCUCAGGACUCUGCUCUGUGUGUGUGGUCAUGAAGCCGCCCUGCGCUCUCUACUACUCUCUGUGGUUCCUUGUACUGCUGGGAGUCGGAUCUCUGCUGCUGCUGGUCCACCUGCAGGACCUUAGUGAGACGGCCCAACACCAGAACUCAGGUGUGAAUGUUCUGCUGGCUCCCAGGAGAGAAGGCGUAGAGAAGGACGUGCAGACAGACGCAUCAGCAGCUGCCGUGGACUUCAAAGCGUCCUCUGUUUCGUCUCAGUUGGUACUUGAAGACGCGUCCUCAGAUCAGCCACUCACCAAACGUCACAGGAAGCUACUUUUGAAGAGCAGCUUCACAAUGUCCAGCACUUCCUCUGGUACAGACGAGGAACGACACCUGCAGCAGCUGACGAGAACGCAGAAGUUCCGACGCCACCUGCUUGCAGAUGUCUGUGCCAGAUACCAGCCGGGCGUCAGCCAGCGGCGAGUGUCUCAGCAGCAGGUGUCCCGGGUGUAUGUGGAGGACAGAUCCAGGCUGCUUUACUGCGAGGUGCCCAAAGCUGGCUGCUCCAACUGGAAGCGGGUGCUGAUGGUGUUGGGCGGCAGUGCCACCUCCACACGAGACAUCCCUCAUGAUGCAGCGCAUUACUCCAACCACCUGCGGCGGCUGGAGAGCUACGACCGCGCCGGCAUCACAGAGAGACUGCGCUUCUACACCAAAGUGCUGUUCAUCAGGGAGCCCUUCGAGCGCCUGGUGUCUGCAUUUAGGGACAAGUUUGAGAGUCCAAAUUCAUACUACCACCCGGUAUUUGGACGGCCCAUCAUCUCCAGAUAUCGCGCCAAUGCCACGCACACGGCACUGCGCACCGGUGCCGGCGUCACCUUCAGGGAGUUCAUCCAGUACCUGCUGGAUGUCCGGCGGCCGGUGGGGAUGGACAUCCACUGGGAGCCAGUGAGCCAGCUGUGUAACCCCUGUCUUCUCAGGUACAACUUCAUCGGAAAGUUCGAGAGUCUGGAGGACGAGGCCAACUUCCUGCUGCAGAGCAUCGGGGCGCCCAGGAACCUGACGUUCCCUGACUUCAAGGACAGGAACCCCCAAGAAGAGAGGACUUCUUCCAGCAUCACCCGGAAAUAUUUCGACCAGCUGAACUCCACAGAGAGGCAGAAGGCCUUUGACUUCUACUACAUGGACUAUCUGAUGUUUAACUACCAGAAACCCUUCACAGACCUGCACUGAGCUCAGUCAGAGCUCACAGCUGAACCAACACUUUGACUGCUCACCUGUUUACCCACAAUGCAGCUGGUGUUUGAUAUGUGGCAUCAGAGACUUGACAGUGUGGGCUUUAUUCUGCACUACAGAUCAACACAGCUCUGACGUCAGUGCAGGUAACUGUUGACGACCUAGAAGCCUUAACCUGCCGUCUCACCUGGCAUUUACGCAGUCUUCACGAUGACGCAUCAAAUAUACUUGUCCAUCUUCAACUUCUCGGAGUUUGAUCAGACA